CGUGCUCUGCUUUUGUGGAGGCUCAAGGAAUAUUCUUUUCCAUUGCUCUCCUUUCAUCGUCUCCCAGGUUCUUCUUUCUUUUUCCGAUGGAUUAAACAAUUGGAAGAAUCAUCGUGAAGCGUAAUUAAAGUAAUCUCGUUUAAGUUAUGAUUAUCUGUUAUGUUUAAACAAUGCGAUUUAAGCUAACGAGUGAGCUGCGCUAUAUUUUAAGUUAGUGAGAUUUAAGCUAGUUACAGAUACCCGCAAGAGAACGGGAUUGAAGGAGCAAAUGAUCCCAUUUUCUGAAUUCGAGGACAAGCUGUAAGUCUCUUUCAAAGUUAAUUGUAUAGAAGCGCUUAUAAAUUUGGUUCUGAUUCAGUUGUCUGCUCUGGCUUAUGGAAUUGCAGCAUGCAUGUUAUGAUAUUUGUUCUGUGUAUCAUUUUUUUUUUUUUUUUUUCCUUAGAAUGAUUUGUAAGGAGUGCUCAAACUUUUUGUUCUUGAUCUGUUUUUCUUGUUUGGUUGAGAGCAUUGUUAGCCGCUUUAACUGGUUUCUUCGUAUCAUGUCUGCUUCCUUAUUCAAAUCGAAUUUGCAGGAAAAAGAGUAUAGGAUUUAGUUGUCUCAAUCGAUUGCCAGGAAUUUAUAAGAACAUUAUUCUUUGGUAGAAACUCUUUUCUUCACAGCUAUUGUCCACAGGA